CGCGUAGGCGGUUUGUUAAGUCAGCUGUGAAAGCCCUGGGCUCAACCUGGGAACUGCAGUUGAUACUGGCCGACUAGAGUACGAGAGAGGGAGGUAGAAUUCCACGUGUAGCGGUGAAAUGCGUAGAUAUGUGGAGGAAUACCGGUGGCGAGGGCGGCCUCCUGGCUCGAUACUGACGCUGAGGUGCGAAAGCGUGGGGAGCAAACA
rnacentral:rRNA from 1 species